GCAGAGUAGGGACGGCGCGUCAAGUGUCAGCGGAUGGGAAGUUGCCGCUGAACGAAAAGCAGGAUUUGCUUGCGUUGCCGUUUCCGCAUCCACUGC
rnacentral:ncRNA from 1 species